rnacentral:lncRNA from 1 species
UUCUUCACUUUCAAAUCACGAAGCUUGCUUUCAUUUACAAGUUUAUGUUGUUCUAGUGUUGCGUUUGGUGGAGCAAUGAUGACGCCAUAUUCAAUAAGAUUCCAAUAUUCUUUGGAGCGAAGAAGAUUCUCCAUUAACAUAGACCAAUGAUUGUAGAAACCAUCGAACUUAGGAAUUGCAGGUUGAAGAAACGAGGAUGAUUUAGUCAUUGUUGAAACCGUAGGGAAGAAAUGCUUGAAAAACUAAGGAUGAAGAUCAUUGUUGUCACAGUAACAGACAAGUAUCGCCGCCAUAACUAACUUUCUCCAUCAUAACAAAUUGUUCCCCCCCCCCCCCAAAUGAAAUUGUGUUUCUCUAAAAAUCAGGACGCCCUUAGGCUCCUGAUACCACUUGUAGAAAAUGGGAAAACUCUCAUUAUUAUUUCACUAAGUGUUUGA